AGACCUACACCUGAGAAGCAGGCCUCCAAAACAUUUCCCUUGAAAACCAUGGGAGCUUGUAUCCAGAAGACACACCUGUAAGCAGGCUGAGAAUGUUCCCAGGGCUCUAGCACGUGAGGACUCACCUUCCCGGCCCAGCGUGGAAGCGUCAGAUCAAGCUGCGUCCAGACUUUGUGUGGAGAGGCUCUUUGAUUGUCUCAGAGUGUCGGCCUGAGGGGAGACAUCUAUUUGACAUCUUCUGAGGGGCCACUGGCAUGCCCUCAGCGGACAAACACUGGCAGGCGCCAUCUUUGCGAGCUCCAGGGCGCCGGUAUUUCUACGGGGUAGCUUUCACGCAUGCCUGCUGCCCCAGUUUUACGUCUGAUGCCUGUUUACGUCUGGUGCCCUGGGUUUUACGUUUGGCGCCACGAUUUCAGACCUGAGCCCCCGUUUUUAUGUCUGGUGCAGUUCUUUGGUGGCUGCCCGGGGAGACACCUCCACAUCCAUCACCAGGCACAGGUGGCAGUCCCACGUGUAAAUAUCCUCUAAAAGACGUUGCUUGAGAUUCUGGCUUCCAGUCGGCUUAAAUCAAGAUGCUGACUGAAAUCCUCCCCUUUGGGACACAGACCGGUCUUCUCACAUCUUCCACUACUUUGAGCCUCUAAAAAUAAAAUAGGCUGCAUGGACAAUCACCAAGGUAUGCGAGACAAUCCUGAGAGAGGACAGUGUUGCAAGAUAAGAUUUAUUUCGUGCAAGAGGCCACUCCUUCAAGACUGGGAGAGAAUGAAACAAAAGGUAUGGAAAGCACAUUUGUUACUGGAUAGCUUCGGAGGACGUGACAUUCUCCAAUCACAUCUCCCAUCAACCCAUGUCUUCUUAAGUCCAUUAGUUGGAGAAAUGAAAUUUUCAGAGAACAACAGGAACAAAGCCAUCAUACUUUUCUUCAACAUUGCGUGAUAUCAGAAACGGAAUCUUGAGUGAUUUACCUCUGCCUCCAUCGCAAGUAAUCACCCUUCACUCUGCUGGCUCCUCAUUGGCCUUGGACUAUGAGGAAGAGGAGGAAGACUAAAACAGUAGAAACUCUUAUGAAUGUAGAAGAUGUGAACUUCAAUCUGCAUAACAACCAUACCUUUGGCUGUUGUGUUUUGCCUGACAACCUGCAUGACUGGCCUUCCUCUCCCUCCAUCCUCUAUCUCAACAUCUACUUUUGUCUUUAGCUUGAGGUGGUAUUUAAGUUGAUGGCUUAGCCCAUUUCCUUGAGGGAAUUCCUCAGCUUGCUGGGAUAUCUCCUAUGUGUACAGGAGGUAUAAAUGUUAUUAAACUUCUGUUCGUUGUUCUCUCGUUAAUCUUUUGACCCAGUGGAACUCAGCCUAGAACCUAAAGGGUAAAGAGAAAAUUGUCCCUCCCCUAUAAUCUAUAGGAAUGGCUUUGGAUAAAAAAAAAGAAAUCAUUUUGGUUUAUUUAACAUUCAUUGUAAAUGAAGCUUUCAAAUUACCCCUUACAUUGUUCUUUGAUAUUUGUGACUUUAAAAUAAACUAGGUUCUUAGUUGUGGCUAUCUCAUUAUGUUUCCCUAAAUGUGAAAGUUGAAGAUUUCUUUCUAAAAAAUUCUAGUGGACCAAAAUAUAGGAGAUUGAUGCUGACUUCUAGAGUCAGACCUACAUGGGCUAAUUUGCUUGGUUUGAGAUACUCUCCAACACACUUUGGAUUCAAACUUGAUUUCUGGGAUUAAAAUCCAUAAUUUUAACAGCACUGUGUAGUGGAUAUACUUGUGGAAAGUCUUCCUCAUUGUGGAAAUUACUGUUGGUAAGUAUUGAUCUGCAAAAUCAUGCUUUCUUUUGUCUGAAAUAAAAUACACUUGGCUGACAGAAAGCAUAAUUAAAGUAAUAUUAUAUAUACUCAUGUGCUAAGAUUAAGAUUGAAAUAUCUCAUAAUUUAAAAAAUAAAAGAAAUUAGAGAGGCAUCAAGACC